UUUGGAGAAUGCUGGCGAUAUCAUAUGGGAAAAGCAAGGCUGCUUAAAGCCACUCCAAGUGAGGUCCUAAAGCUGAGGACGUGCUGGUGGAGCUGUGUGAAAGAGUUUAAUCUUAGUGAUAUGCAUGAAGAUGGAAUGCAAAAAAAUGCUGGUGGUGUUCUGUUUGCACUUCUUAUGAGCCAUGAAGAUGGUCUGCAAGUGUCGACUUGUUCAGAAAGCACCCAGUAGAUAUGGUUCACGUCCUAGUAGGUAUAAGAAGUGCUGACAGGUCUGGUCUUGCCUUCCCUGUUUACCCCCAGAAUGCUGAGACUCACUGGAGUACCCCAACUCAGCUCUUCCUCUACUUUUAUUCUCAUGCUCAGGUGGCACACAGAGGUCCAAACCAUGCAUAUCUCCAUUUCUGCUGGACAAAUACGUUCUGCAUGAGGUCCACCUCAUCCAACUGCAGCCUGGCUGGCAUGGUCCCCAGCUCGUCCUUGGAAUCUCAGCACAGGGCCAUGGUGGAUGACAAAAGCAAAGACUCAUUCUCAGGGCACAUCUGUGUGUGAUGUGGUGUCCUCCAGUGGAUGAGAUCCACCAGCAAAUGUGGUUUGGGGAACAUCCCUUAAGAACCAGUGAGGGAGGCUAAUGGAUUCCCUUUGGGGAAAGCAAAGCCCGUAGCAGAAAAGCUGGUGGUAAAUGAAUGGAAGUCCAAUGAAGGAACUCGGAACUGUGAAGAUUCAGCCCAUUAGUGGGGCUGCUUAACCUAAACCAGAUUUCUGUAGGAAAUAACUCCAGGACACCACAAACUAUGCACUGCUGCUGCUUGGAUAAGUCCAUACUCUAUCAUCCCAGUCUAUUUUUUCCCCAUCUUCCCUUCCAAGCAUUGUUCCAAGCCCAAAGGCGCUGCCGCAGCCAGCUGGGUGCCCUGGGAACAAACUUUCCCACCACUUUCUCUCUCCCCAUGACGGACAUGGGGGGAAGCAGACAAGAGGUCUCAUCAAAGCUGGUGGAAAGUUCUUGUGUGUGUGUGUGUUAUUAUUUAGGAGCCCGGCUGGAAGGAGGUAACGCUGGUGCUCCAUCUCUGUCACAAGCAAAGCGGUGCUGGGGUUGAGUUCGUUGCUUGGGUUGCAUGGGGCAGGCUGGCAAGCAAGAAGCCUGCCUGAAAAAUCAGGAUGGAGGAGACAAUAUUCAACUGUUUUCCAGGUUUGGAGAAUGAUGUUCUCAUGACUUCAAGUGGAGGGAAACAGACCAACACAUCCCCACUGCACUCUCUUCUCCCCCACUUGGAGCCUUGGUCGUUGCAGUUGCUGGAUGAAAGAAAAGCCUGAAAGGAGCAUGAAUUGCAUUCCUGGAAAAGGCAACAAGUCCUCAAGGCAACUUUCUAGAUGUCUUUUCUGGUUUCAGCAUGAAUUUGCACCAGAGAAGCUGUAAAUGAAGGAAUCUUUAGUAAACAGUGCUGCUUGAAACGCAUUUGGAACAGUUUUCCAGGUGAUAUAACUCCACAAACGUCAGCAGGAAUGGACGUGGGGUUGGAAAAUCACGGUCAACAGGAUUGCAAAACGACCAGCUGCCGGCUCUUUGUUUCUUACAGCAACAUGAUGAAAUGGUGGCAUUUUAAUUCACAUUAUUGAGCUUCUCACAUGUUUACUUGCUUGGGUCUGUCUUUAACCCUGUGGGCAGCCCUUCCUUGUGUGCCCCAGACUCUUGAUUUCGAUGGGACAGGGUGUCUUUGUGGCUCCCAACCAGAUGAAUCACCCUCUUCCCACCGCUGCCCGGGGAACGCAGGCUGUGACUGAGCACUGCUGGCCCCAGAGAGGGAAUCUGCAGCCCCUCUGAGCGCUGACCUCAUGGCCAGCUGGAUUUAAGGGAUUUGAGCCCACUUUUGUGACUGUCCCCAAGCUCUGUGCUCUUUGCAUCCAUUGUUCCACACAGUGCUGUCCACAUUUAGUUGAGACAUCUCCCAGGCCGAUGCUAUACCCUGGGGCAGCCCAUCCCCACUGUUUCGGGUGCCUUAGGGCAGCUCCAUGUUCCUGCAGCGAGCACAGCAGCUGAGCCUUGCUACCAACCCCAUCCAUCCAGAGCGUGUGCACUCAGCAUCACCUCAGUGGUCAACAAGAGCCGGUAGAUGCCAAAUAAAACCCCAUCAUUAAAACCCUCAGUGAGUGAUUUCAAUCCAUCUGUCUGCCCAAAGCAUCCUCAGCAGGGGCUGUGCAAUCUCAGGCCAUCGCCCCCAACAAGCUCCUUUGAACUCCAACCCACUGGGCCACGGCGGCCGUGAGCCAGCCUUGUCUGAACAUGGUUUUAAUCUGGUUGGAUAUAUUUAAUGCACCGACAUGUCUUAAACUGGAGGAGAUCUAAGCCCUGCCUGGCAGGUGUGAUGGAAAGCAGACACCGCCUCCAUUGGCUCUCUGGCUCUGGAGGUGCUGCUGGGAAAACGGGAUGAGAAGCACUGGCCCAGGCAUUCUGUAGUGCACAAACAUUCACCAAAAUUGGGUGAGGUGAGAGGGAAAGGCACAAAGUGGCAAGAAAAAACAAACACGGAAAAGGGAACAGAAGGCAAGAGAAAAAUGGAGGUAACCAGAAAAGGACAUAGAGAGGAGAUGGAGGGUGAUGUGCUGGAGCCUUGGAGGACCCACCAAAUGGCACCAGCUUCUCUACCAAAGCUGCCUUCAAUAAAUGUCUUGUUUCCAGCAAAACUCAAAACCAAACUCCUUUCCUGUGUGGGGUGCCUUUAAAAUGGUGCAUUUUUAAAGGAAAUUCUUAUUUAAUACGACCAUCCUCAUUUUUCAAGUAAAAGAGCAAAGCUAUCUCCAGGAAAAGGGAAAGAAAGAAAUUUGCACCUGUAGUCAAAAUGCUGAGUCACGGCCUGAAGCAGUGAUGGAGCACCUGGGGGGAAGGCAGGGCCAGCCCAGGGCAGCUCAGGUGCAUGCAAUGUGCUGAGUGAUGGAAGGGCUGCAGCCAGGAUCCACCCCUUCCCAGCCCUCAUUUAAGGGUUGGCAGUGGAGGUAGGGGGUCUUGCUGGAGGUUACUGUGUACCUGAGGCCUUCUAAAGAACGCACCUAUGGAAGGAGCAGUGCAUCCGUUGGGUUAAAACCCUCCCUCUGCCUCUUCAGAACCAACGAACCCACCUGUACCACCAGCACAGCACGGACCCAU